UAAUGUUGUAGAGGUGAGAUGUGUUGUGUGCUACAACUGUGUGCCUCUGACCCAACAAUCCAGUGGCAUCAUGCCCAUAUCACCAACCUGCCAAAUCCUUUACGUUCCAGCAAGUCUCACUUGGAGGUGCCCCACCUCCCACUCCUCUCCUGCCAUGGUGCCUGUGAAACACACUCUCCACAAGGUCUUUGGACUUUUCCUGCCCUGGAAUCCCCUGUGGUAUUCACUUCUCCUGCGGCAUUCACCAGACAUCUGUGCCUGCAGCCUGCUGCCCACAGAAGGAGAGAAGCUGGCUGCUGUGCAGGUGCCAGAAGUCUUUGUUUCCUUUGUACAAAGUAGUUCAGCUAGAAAAGCUAGUUUUCUCCAGCUGUACCCUCUCACAGGUGAAAUAAGGUCAUUGUCCCUCUUUCCGUGCAACUUCCAAGGCUGUAAAUCAACCUAUUACAGUGGUGAGAAACAGAGAUUGCUUGUUUGGACAGAAGGGAAAUGAAGAGGGGAGUCUGCAGUCUGGAGACAGGCUGUUCUCCAGGACUGGUCCUGCAGAGAUGAUGCUGAGCUCAUACUGUGACUUCAACACAAGCUUGUCUCCUAGAAGCUUCCCCAAGCCCAAGAGAGGAAAGUGCCGUGGCCGUCCUGCUUACCAAAGAAGAGCUCUCUAGGAGUCUUCCAGGACCUGAGCAAGGUUCCCUACGUGUCUGUCCUUGCUUGGAGCAGCAACUUGAUACUCCAACAGGGCAGGACCUGUUCAGAGGGGAAGUAGUGGAUUUCCUGAGAAAUACCUUGUGCUGCACAAAAAGCCUGCUCCACCAAGAGAUGAGAGAGUAUAGAACUGUCACUGGAAUGCUCACCUCUAUGUCUUCCAUAACACUAUUAUAUUAUCCUGCAUGUGCA